CCUACGGGGGGCAGCAGUGGGGGAUAUUGCACAAUGGGGGGAACCCUGAUGCAGCGACGCCGCGUGGGUGAAGGAGUGCUUCGGCAUGUAAAGCCCUAUCGGCAGGGAAGAAGCAAGACGGUACCUGACUAAGAAGCCCCGGCUAACUACGUGCCAGCAGCCGCGGUAAUACGUAGGGGGCGAGCGUUAUCCGGAUUCACUGGGUGUAAAGGGAGCGUAGACGGCCAAGCAAGCCAGGGGUGAAAGCCCGGGGCCCAACCGCGGGACUGCAUUGGGAACUACCGGGCUGGAGUGCCGGAGAGGUAGGCGGAAUUCCUAGUGUAGCGGUGAAAUGCGUAGAUAUUAGGAGGAACACCAGUGGCGAAGGCGGCCUACUGGACGGUGACUGACGCUGAGGCUCGAAAGCGUGGGGAGCAAACAGGAUUAGAUACCCGGGUAGUC
rnacentral:rRNA from 1 species